rnacentral:rRNA from 1 species
UNUGUGCCGGAGUUAACGCAAUAAGUACCCCGCCUGGGGAGUACGACCGCAAGGUUGAAACUCAAAGGAAUUGACGGGGGCCCGCACAAGCGGUGGAGUAUGUGGUUUAAUUCGACGCAACGCGAAGAACCUUACCAGGUCUUGACAUUGAUGGACAGAACUAGAGAUAGUUCNUCUUCUUCGGAAGCCAGAAAACAGGUGGUGCACGGUUGUCGUCAGCUCGUGUCGUGAGAUGUUGGGUUAAGUCCCGCAACGAGCGCAACCCCUAUCUUAUGUUGCCAGCACGUAAUGGUGGGAACUCAUGAGAGACUGCCGCAGACAAUGCGGAGGAAGGCGGGGAUGACGUCAAAUCAUCAUGCCCCUUAUGACCUGGGCUACACACGUACUACAAUGGGAGUUAAUAGACGGAAGCGAGAUCGCGAGAUGGAGCAAACCCGAGAAACACUCUCUCAGUUCGGAUCGUAGGCUGCAACUCGCCUACGUGAAGUCGGAAUCGCUAGUAAUCGCAGGUCAGCAUACUGCGGUGAAUACGUUCCCGGGCCUUGUACACACCGCCCGUCACACCACGAAAGUCGGAAGUGCCCAAAGCNG